UGGCGGCACGCCUAACACAUGCAAGUCGAACGCAGUAGCAAUACUGAGUGGCAAACGGGUGAGUAUAAUGUGGGAAUCUGCCUUUUGGUUUGGAAUAACACGGGGAAACUUGUGCUAAUACCGAAUAAGCCCUUACGGGGAAAGUUUUAAUGCCGAAAGAUGAGCCCGCACUUGAUUAGCUAGUUGGUAAGGUAAAAGCUUACCAAGGCAACGAUCAAUAGCUGUUCUUAGAGGAAGACCAGCCACAUUGGGACUGAGACACGGCCCAGACUCCUACGGGAGGCAGCAGUGGGGAAUCUUGCACAAUGGGGGAAACCCUGAUGCAGCGAUGCCGCGUGAGUGAAGAAGGCCCUUGGGUUGUAAAACUCUUUCGUCGGGGAAGAAAAUGACUGUACCCGAAUAAGAAGGUCCGGCUAACUUCGUGCCAGCAGCCGCGGUAAUACGAAGGGACCUAGCGUAGUUCGGAAUUACUGGGCUUAAAGAGCUCGUAGGUGGUUAAAAAAGUUGAUGGUGAAAUCCCAAGGCUUAACCUUGGAACUGCCAUCAAAACUUUUUAGCUAGAGUGUGAUAGAGGUAAGUGGAAUUUCUAGUGUAGAGGUGAAAUUCGUAGAUAUUAGAAAGAACACCAAAUGCGAAGGCAACUUACUGGGUCACUACUGACACUGAGGAGCGAAAGCAUGGGUAGCGAAGAGGAUUAGAUACCCUCGUAGUCCAUGCCGUAAACGAUGUGUGCUAGACGUUGGAAAUAUAUUUUUCAGUGUCGCAGCGAAAGCAUUAAGCACACCGCCUGGGGAGUAC
rnacentral:rRNA from 1 species